rnacentral:rRNA from 1 species
GAUCCUGGCUCAGGAUGAACGCUAGCUACAGGCUUAACACAUGCAAGUCGAGGGGCAGCAUGACCUAGCAAUAGGUUGAUGGCGACCGGCGCACGGGUGAGUAACACGUAUCCAACCUACCGGUUAUUCCGGGAUAGCCUUUCGAAAGAAAGAUUAAUACCGGAUAGUAUAACGAGAAGGCAUCUUUUUGUUAUUAAAGAAUUUCGAUAACCGAUGGGGAUGCGUUCCAUUAGAUAGUAGGCGGGGUAACGGCCC